GUAGGUGAACCUGCGGAAGGAUCAUUAAUGAGUUGUCAUGGGGUUCGAUGCUGGCAGCCAAUUCUUGGAUGCAUGUGCUUGCCCUAACAAUCAUCUUCCAAACACCUGUGCACAUUUUUGAGGGAGUCUUGAGUUGGUUGCCGCUCUUGGGUGAUUUUCUCACAUUCCCUUAAAUCAUUAUACGCUAUUAACAAUGUUGAACGUGCUCUGUGCCGCAAGGCUAUUAAUAUAAUACAACUUUUAACAACGGAUCUCUUGGCUCUC
rnacentral:misc_RNA from 1 species